CAAGAAGAUAGGAAAGGAACAAAAGAAGGAAAGAAAUCACCAAUUGUGUAAACUUGGGCUAGAUACUUAAAUUCUUUGGAACUCAGUUUCCUCACCUGCUUAUCUCAGAUAAGUCUCAAGUGAGAUAAUACAGGAGAAUACAUUCUAAUUGCAGAGAGCUGUAGAACUACACAGCCUCUAUUUUCAGUAGCCAGAAGUCAAUGAAGUAACCCCACAGGCCUUUGACCUGAGAAUUUUCAGGUAGAGACUUCUUCAUGGAUAAUCCUGAAGAGAUAAAUGCAAGGCAGAGAAGAAUGGGGUAGUCAAAGAUGAGUGUUGCAAAGAAAUACUUCUCUGCCUCCCACCAGGGACCAGAAGUUUCACCGCCUUUUUCCAGACCUCUAGGAGAACUGGUUGGAUGAGGUGGUUGGAUGGCAUCACCGACUCAAUGGACAUGAGUUUGGGUAGACUCCAGGAGUUGGUGAUGGACAGGGAGGCCUGGCGUGCUGCAGUCCAUGGGGUCACAAAGAAUUGGACACAACUGAGCGACUGAACUGAACUGAACUGAAGGACAACUAUUCCUCCCUGGCUCCUCUGAGUCCAGUGUGUUGAUGACCACAUGCUGUGUAAUGACUCAGUGCUUCCGCCUCUUGUCUCCAUUCAACUACGCAGAGCCUUCCUUCAUACAUCCUGUGAUGAAGUCAUUUGGCCUUCACUUGCAUGCAAGGGCGGCAACCGAG
ensembl:lncRNA